rnacentral:miRNA from 1 species
UGAGGCAGGAGAAUCGCUUGAACCCAGGAAGUGGAGGCUGCAGUGAGCCGAGAUCGAGCCACUGCACUCCAGCCUGGGUGACAGAGCGAGACUCCAGUCUC